rnacentral:rRNA from 1 species
GAUGAGCGCUGGCUACAGGCUUAACACAUGCAAGUCGAGGGGAAACGCCGGGGAAGCUUGCUUCCCCGGGCGUCGACCGGCGCACGGGUGAGUAACGCGUAUCCAACCUGCCUCUGACUGAGGGAUAACCCGUCGAAAGUCGGCCUAAUACCUCAUGGCAUCGUCUGCGGGCAUCCAACGACGAUUAAAGAUUUCAUCGGUCAGGGAUGGGGAUGCGUCUGAUUAGCUUGUUGGCGGGGUAACGGCCCACCAAGGCUACGAUCAGUAGGGGUUCUGAGAGGAAGGUCCCCCACAUUGGAACUGAGACACGGUCCAAACUCCUACGGGAGGCAGCAGUGAGGAAUAUUGGUCAAUGGGCGGGAGCCUGAACCAGCCAAGUAGCGUGCAGGAUGACGGCCCUAUGGGUUGUAAACUGCUUUUAUGCGGGGAUAAAGUGAGGGACGUGUCCUUCAUUGCAGGUACCGCAUGAAUAAGGACCGGCUAAUUCCGUG